rnacentral:rRNA from 1 species
AUUGAACGCUGGCGGCAGGCCUAACACAUGCAAGUCGAACGGGUGGCGGACGGGUGAGUAAUGUCUGGGAAACUGCCUGAUGGAGGGGGAUAACUACUGGAAACGGUAGCUAAUACCGCAUACCAUCGGAUGUGCCCAGAUGGGAUUGGCGAGUAGGUGGGGUAACGGCUGACCUAGGGGACGAUCCCUAGCUGGUCUGAGAGGAUGACCAGCACCACUGGAACUGGGGAACGGUCCAGACUCCUACGGGAGGCAGCAGUGGGGAAUAUUGCACAAUGGGCGGAAGCCUGAUGCAGCCAUGCCGCGUGGAUGAAGAAGGGCUUCGGGUUGUAAAGUACUUUCAGCGAGGAGGCGUUACUCGCAGAAGAAGCACCGGCUAACUCCGUGCCAGCAGCCGCGGUAAUUC